rnacentral:rRNA from 1 species
UACGUAGGGGGCGAGCGUUGUCCGGAUUUAUUGGGCGUAAAGAGCGGGUAGGCGGCCAGGUAGGUCUGCUGUGAAAACUCGAGGCUCAACCUCGAGACGUCGGCGGAAACCAUCUGGCUAGAGUCCGGAAGAGGAGAGUGGAAUUCCUGGUGUAGCGGUGAAAUGCGCAGAUAUCAGGAAGAACACCCGUGGCGAAGGCGGCUCUCUGGGACGGUACUGACGCUGAGACGCGAAAGCGUGGGGAGCGAACAGG